rnacentral:lncRNA from 1 species
GCAUGCAUGGAGCAUUAAAUAUAGAUAAAAAUAAUAACUAAUUGCACAGUUUGCCUAUAAUUUGCGAGACGAAUCUUUUGAGUCUAGUUAGUCCAUAAUUAGACAAUAUUUGUCAAAUACAAACGAAAAUACUACAUAUCCAUUUUGCAAAAAAUUUUAGAACUAAACAAGACCUAAAAUAGAACCUCUACUUAUAGGUAUUUAUUAGAACGUCCCCCUC